UACAGAGGUGGCAAGCGUUGUUCGGAAUUACUGGGCGUAAAGGGCGCGUAGGCGGUUCGUUAAGUCCUGUGUGAAAUCCCCCGGCUCAACUGGGGAACUGCACAGGAAACUAGCGGGCUUGAGUUCGGGAGAGGGAAGCGGAAUUCCUGGUGUAGCGGUGGAAUGCGCAGAUAUCAGGAGGAACACCGAUGGCGAAGGCAGGUCUCUGGGCCACUACUGACGCUGAGAAGCGAAAGCAUGGGGAGCGAACAGG
rnacentral:rRNA from 1 species